rnacentral:rRNA from 1 species
UGCGUAGGUGGGCAGGUAAGUCAGUGGUGAAAUCCCCGAGCUUAACUUGGGAACUGCCGUUGAUACUAUCUGUCUUGAAUAUCGUGGAGGUAAGCGGAAUAUGUCAUGUAGCGGUGAAAUGCAUAGAGAUGACAUAGAACACCAAUUGCGAAGGCAGCUUGCUACACGGUAAUUGACACUGAGGCACGAAAGCGUGGGGAGCAAACA